CCCUGGCUAUGAUGAUAACCACUUUUAGCAAACAUGCCAGUUCUGCUUCUGAUAAUUCAUGACUGGAAAAAAUGUUAUAUAACAUCUGAGCCAUUG